AGGCAGGAAUUUCAAGGCUUUUCGUCAGCGUCAGAACCGAAAGCCGAUUUCUCUAUCGAUCUGAGAGAGAAAUCCUGAAGUGUCCAGGAAUGUUUUGCCAGAUGACGCUCGAGUGAAGGAAGGCGCUCGGCAACAACAAAAGUGGAGAGACAAUUUGCGGCGAUGGGAUUCUUCGGACCGAGACGGGAGCGAUAAAAUCCGGGAGUAGAACACGGGGCGUAAUUGAUUCCGAAGCGCUCGGGUGAAUGCUAAUGUGUGGAGGGAGCGAUGCAAUUAGGGCUGAAAGACAUCGGCCAUUAGUUUAGAACAAAAACACGGGAGGUACGGCUGAAAAACUGGUUUAUAGCGAGAGGCAAAAGGCUUUGUCACGGAAUGGAAUAGUGUGUUUGUGAAAGCUGGUUGAUUUAUACACGUUACAAAAUCUAAAGAGCAAGAUAUUCGUUUAGAAAUAAAGGUGUUCUGAUAAACGAAGCCACAACGGACAUUUUAAGCUUUUUGUUUUGGUCCUGAUGCAAAACGUGGCAGCGAUACGAGACUGGAUUUGUGAUUCAGGAGAAAGCAAAAGCCAGAAAGGACUCCCCAAUGAAAGAGUGGACAAGACUUUAGCGAAAUCCUGAAAGAUUCUUGUCAAAAUCAAGCAAGAGAGUGUAGUUUGGACACUCUGUAAGAUUUGGAGCAGGAGUAACACUUUGAGGACGUGUUUAAGGAGGAGGAGCCGAGCUGUUGUUCCCGUGACGGAGGGAGGGAGGAAAGGAUGGAUGUGUGUGAGAUGUGGAGAUGUUGAGAUGCUGGGGAUCGCUGUGAAGGUGGAGGGAGAAUGGCCUGACGGAUCUAGAUGUGAAGCGGAGAGCGGCUUGUUUUUUUUAGGAUGACGGGACAUGUUUAAACAUCGAUAAGAUGUGCGAGUGACGAUGGGGCGCACGCUGCUGACUCCGGACGACGUGCGGGCGCUGGAGGUGAAGGAGGAGCAGGAGGAAUCCAUCCUGGCCAUGUUGGGGAUCGUGGGAACCUUCCUCAACCUGUUCGUCAUCGUCUUCGUUUACAUCUACACCACGCUAUGACCACGACCCACCACUACAACAUUACAACUACUGCUGAGGAAACCCGCCUGUGGGCUGCAGAUGUUACACCUCAACCAAACCAGGAACGAACCAGAACUUUCUCCAGAGUAAAACGCUCCAGUACAUUUCCAGUAAAGGCUGCAAAGUUUCUUAUUUAAACUGAGCACUUGAGGAAUUACUUUGACAGAGCGACUCCUACUUUUAUCAGGGAAAUAUUUGACCAGGAGUAUGAGUACUUUCCCUCGACCAUCACUGCAGUUAUCCAAGACAGAUGAAGACGAAACAUGGAGUUCUUUAGACUCUUCCUUAAACACAAUUCCAGACACUCUCCUGAAAGGUUCAUGACAUUUAUAUUAUAUCCAGCGUCGUCGAACACAAAACAAGCAGCAAAAUGGAUUAAUUAGACGCUACAAAUGCGAGAUAUCGGUUUGAAAACAAUCCAUCGAACAGGAAUGAGGGGAAUCUCGAUAUUCAAAGAAAAUCGGAAACGAAUCUGCAGCUUUUGAGUAGACACUGUGAAGGAGGACAGAGAUCGUAACGUCUGGCCAUGAAGAUCUGCGGCUUCUGUCGGGCGCAGACGGACUUUUAUUGUGAAGGGGAAGAGUGCUUUUAUUGUGAAGGGGAAGCCAUUUGCCGGAGCCACGACCCAGGGAGAUAACAGCGACUCCUGAGAUAUUUACAUAAACGGUUUGUGUCGAAACGUGACUUGUAUUUAACACCAACUGUGUCUGUUUAAUACUAACCAUCGCUAAUAAAUAACCUAUUUUUCAAUCUACAAACGGGAAGUGAAUCUACUGCAGAGUUUUUAAACAUCUGUACUUUACUCGAGUAGUAUUUGUGUUGAGAACGAUUUCUGCUGCACGACAUUUCCAUAAAGUCCAUUUGUUCAUGUGUCAUAAUGCGAUUCCAGUAAUUGGUUUUCGAUACUAAAAUAUUUCUCGUCUAGAACCAGGAAACUGAACAAUAACGUGUGGAGGAUCAGCAAAUGUACAAUGAUGGGUUCAUCUCCAAUGUAAAGAAAUGUGUGAAAAAUAAUGGGGAAUAAUUUGGGAGAAUUUGGGGCAAAAUUAAGGAAAAGUGUGUAAAAAAAACUUGUAGAAAUGAGUCAAAACAGGGAAAGAAAUUUGGAAUAAAUUGGGGGGAAAUGUGUUUAAAGGGGGGGUAUUAUGUAAAAUGGACUUUUUCAAGCUUUAUAUCAUGUUAUUAUGUCAUUCCCUCAUUAAACACAUGCCUGGAGUGUUGCCUUGGCUCAUUCACAUAUUUUUGAGUAAUCAGUAAAAACUUAGACGGCAGCCAUUUUAGGUGUAGCUAUGCCUCAGUCCUCCUAGGAACGCCCCCACCUCCUGGA
rnacentral:lncRNA from 1 species